rfam:Bombyx mori DNA, contig: Bm_scaf59_contig28617, strain: p50T/Dazao, build 2, whole genome shotgun sequence.
GCUCCAGUGGCGCAAUUGGUUAGCGCACGGUACUUAUAAGACAGUGUACGUGUGAGUAAUGCCGGGGUUGUGAGUUCGAGCCUCACCUGGAGCA